rnacentral:ncRNA from 1 species
AAGGCCUGAUGUGUGUGAGAUUACCCGCUGAAUUUAAGCAUAUAAGUAAGCGGAGGAAAAGAAACUAACUAGGAUUCCCUUAGUAAUGGCGAAUGAACAGGGAUCAGCUCAGUGCCAAAUCGGAAUCACUUGUGGUUCUGAAAUGUGGCUUGAAGGCAGUACCAGUGGCAUCGCGGACGAAAGUCUCUUGGAAAAGAGCGUCAUAGAGGGUGAGAAUCCCGUGAGUCGUUCGCCGUUUGUCACGUACGGUCUGCGUUCUAACGAGUCGCGUUCCUUGGGAUGGAGC